GACGAACGCUGGCGGCGUGCUUAACACAUGCAAGUCGAACGGAAAGGCCCUGCUUUUGUGGGGUGCUCGAGUGGCGAACGGGUGAGUAACACGUGAGUAACCUGCCCUUGACUUUGGGAUAACUUCAGGAAACUGGGGCUAAUACCGGAUAGGAGCUCCUGCUGCAUGGGGGGGGUUGGAAAGUUUCGGCGGUUGGGGAUGGACUCGCGGCUUAUCAGCUGGUUGGUGGGGUAGUGGCUUACCAAGGCUUUGACGGGUAGCCGGCCUGAGAGGGUGACCGGCCACAUUGGGACUGCGAUACGGCCCAGACUCCUACGGGAGGCAGCAGUGGAGAAUAUUGCACAAUGGGCGGAAGCCUGAUGCAGCAACGCCGCGUGCGGAAUGACGGCCUUCGGGUUGUAAACCGCUUUCGCCUGUGACGAAGCGUGAGUGACGGUAAUGGGUAAAGAAGCACCGGCUAACUACGUG
rnacentral:rRNA from 1 species